rnacentral:rRNA from 1 species
UACGUAGGGUGCAAGCGUUGUCCGGAAUUAUUGGGCGUAAAGAGCUCGUAGGCGGUCUGUCGCGUCUGCUGUGAAAAUCCAGGGCUCAACCCUGGACCUGCAGUGGGUACGGGCAGACUAGAGUGCGGUAGGGGAGAUCGGAAUUCCUGGUGUAGCGGUGAAAUGCGCAGAUAUCAGGAGGAACACCCGUGGCGAAGGCGGCUCUCUGGAACGCAACUGACGCUGAGACGCGAAAGCGUGGGGAGCAAACAGG